GACUCAGGUGUUUGUCACAGAAGAGAUAUGAGGGUCUCUAAGCAUAGCCAGCUUGGCAAUAACAGAGUCUCUUUCAACUUCAUAUCUAUAAGUUGGAAAUUCUCCAUUGUCUAUUAAAUCACCAUCUAGGGAGUGCAACCCCAGGAACUCAGGAGAGGCAGCACUGUCCAUAGCUUCCUGUCUGCCUCCUUUCCCCACACCGACUGCCAUGACUUGAGUGGCUCUGCCAUGUUUUCCCCUCCAUGAGGACCUGAAAUCCCUCCGACUAGUGAGCCCACGUGACUCACCAUGGUUAUGGCCGUGGUCACAGCAGCACAAAG